rnacentral:rRNA from 1 species
CAGUCGCCACGGUAAUACGAAGGGGGCUAGCGUUGCUCGGAAUGACUGGGCGUAAAGGGCGCGUAGGCGGUUUUGACAGUCAGAUGUGAAAUUCCUGGGCUUAACCUGGGGGCUGCAUUUGAGACGUCAAGACUAGAGUGUGAGAGAGGGUUGUGGAAUUCCCAGUGUAGAGGUGAAAUUCGUAGAUAUUGGGAAGAACACCGGUGGCGAAGGCGGCAACCUGGCUCAUUACUGACGCUGAGGCGCGAAAGCGUGGGGAGCAAACAGGAUUAGAUACCCCCGUAGUCCCUGUCUCUUAUAC